rnacentral:rRNA from 1 species
AUUGAACGCUGGCGGCAUGCCUAAUACAUGCAAGUCGAACGAGUGGCGGACGGGCGAGUAAUGUCUGGGAAACUGCCCGAUGGAGGGGGAUAACUACUGGAAACAGUAGCUACUACCGCAUACCACCGGUUGUGCUCUGAGGGGAUUAGCUAGUGGGUGGGGUAACGGCUCACCUAGGCGACGAUCCCUAGCUGGUCUGAGAGGGUGACCGGCCACACGGGAAAGGAGACACGGUCCAGACUCCUACGGGAGGCAGCAGUGGGGAAUAUUGCACAAUGGGCGCAAGCCUGAUGCAGCCAUGCCGCGGGUAUGAAGAAGGCCGUCGGGUUGUAAAGUACUUUCAGCGGGGAGGCGUUACUCGCAGAAGAAGCACCGGCUAACUCCGUGCCAGCAGCCGCGGUAAUAC